rnacentral:lncRNA from 1 species
GCAGGAGGAAGGGCUGGUAGGCGCAGCGACACCCCGUGACGGGCUGCCUGGCGUAUAUGCGAAUGAAGUGACCAUCUGCAUCGAAUAAUUAGAAGCCGUCUUCCCUGACUGCUCUCCAUGUGCCGGCACAGAGGGAGGGGAGGCGCCCCUUUACCGCCGCUGCAGCCCGCAGAGGAGAUGCUGGGGUGGAAUCACGCAUCUUCCCCCACUUUAGGGCACACUACCUGCUGAGCGGACAGGUGCUGGCAGUGUGAUGUCCCUGGGCAUGGAAGCCGGCCUGUCCUCGGCGCUGACAUCUAUAUCUCCGUCUCACUGGAUUUGAAAACUGACACAACAUAAGGACUGUCACUCUCUAUUAGUUGAUCUUUGCGUGCGUCUCUAUUGCAUUGGAAGCCCUGUGAGCAAAUGUCUUGGUCACAGCUGCCCUCUCGCUUCCGCUUGAGGGGCUCACCCCCCGGAAGUGGGGCAGACCCGGAAGUGGGGCUGAGGUCUGAGUUGGUGACUGGGUUUUGUCUCCUGGUUGUGGGCGCUGUCACGCAUCUGCUGGCCUGUUGAAAUGAUCGUGAAUUGGUUUCUCGCGUUCGAUAAUUCUGGCCAAGUCCCACCUUCCCUUUGUUAGCUAAAUACGGUUGGCACUGAGACCUGAUUUUUGCAUGUUUUUGUGCGAGAGGAGCUUUACUUGUUAACAAUUGCAAUGGUCUGUGGCCCUUGGGAACCCAGACUUCAGCGCCCUGCAAGGGUGACUCAGGCAGCCCACAUGGUCACUCUUGUCUCGAGUGUCUGACGUUGUCUCCCUGCCAGUCCUCUCCCCUCUGGCACCGUUCUCUUGUCCUGAGAAAACCUCUGUCAGGGCAACUUCAGGCCUGACUGAGCAGACACCAUCAGACCUCAAAAAUACACAUGCACAUUCAAAGGCAAGAGUAGGAAUCUUCUCAGUAACCAUAAAAUAUGGGGAAUCCUGGAAAGGUGGAGAUGGAAAGUGAAAGAAAGGAAACCCUGAUGUGGAAUGCUCACAGAGAGGCACCAUGUGGAGUUGCCCACACCUGUUCUGCUGGCUUCAUGAAUGAGUGUCUUCUACGUGACAAGAUAAUGAACAAUGUGUGACGACCAUGUCUGGAGGAUCUCCUGCACUGCCUCCAGAGACCAGUCCAGUGCUGCAGACAGAAGAGGCACUGGGCAUUUAGUGACUUAUGGAAUGACAUCAAGUUAGCUAGGGAUUUUGAAUUUUCUUGACACUAUUAAGAAUUCACUGAUUUCAGUUCACUACUUUUCCCAGUUGAGUCUUGC